rnacentral:rRNA from 1 species
CGCGUAGGUGGUAGUGUAAGUCUGGGGUGGAAUGCCGGGGCUUAACCCUGGAAUUGCCUUGGAAACUGCAUUACUUGAGUCAGUGAGGGGAGGGUAGAAUUCCUGGUGUAGCGGUGAAAUGCGUAGAUAUCAGGAGGAAGGCCUGUGGCGAAGGCGGCCCUCUGGUGCUGGACUGACACUGAGGCGCGGAAGCGUGGGGAGCAAACAGGAUUAGAUACCCUGGUAGUCCACGCCCUAAACGGUGGGCACUAGGUGUAGGGCUCGUAAGGGUUCUGUGCCGAAGGGAAACCAUUAAGUGCCCCGCCUGGGGAGUACGGCCGCAAGGUUGAA